AGAGUUUGAUCAUGGCUCAGAACGAACGCUGGCGGCAGGCCUAACACAUGCAAGUCGAGCGCACCUUCGGGUGAGCGGCGGACGGGUUAGUAACGCGUGGGAACGUGCCCAGAUCUGCGGAAUAGCCACUGGAAACGGUGAGUAAUACCGCAUACGCCCUUCGGGGGAAAGAUUUAUCGGAUUUGGAUCGGCCCGCGUUAGAUUAGGUAGUUGGUGGGGUAACGGCCUACCAAGCCUACGAUCUAUAGCUGGUUUUAGAGGAUGAUCAGCAACACUGGGACUGAGACACGGCCCAGACUCCUACGGGAGGCAGCAGUGGGGAGUCUUGGACAAUGGGCGCAAGCCUGAUCCAGCCAUGCCGCGUGAGUGAUGAAGGCCUUAGGGUCGUAAAGCUCUUUCGCCAGGGAUGAUAAUGACAGUACCUGGUAAAGAAACCCCGGCUAACUCCGUGCCAGCAGCCGCGGUAAUACGGAGGGGGUUAGCGUUGUUCGGAAUUACUGGGCGUAAAGCGCGCGUAGGCGGACCAGAAAGUUAGGGGUGAAAUCCCGGGGCUCAACCCCGGAACUGCCUCUAAAACUCCUGGUCUAGAGUUCGAGAGAGGUGAGUGGAAUUCCGAGUGUAGAGGUGAAAUUCGUAGAUAUUCGGAGGAAACACCAGU
rnacentral:rRNA from 1 species